CCUGGGCUGCGUGUAGAGGGGGCAAGGGCCCUGGGCUGAUGAUGAGCCUUGCCAGCCUGACUGUGCCAAGAUCACCCAAACUCUCUCUGCUGCAUUUGCAUCUCAAUCUGUAAAUCAUAGAUAAUAAUACCGUUUGAUU